rnacentral:sRNA from 1 species
CUAUUGACAGAAGCUGAUCUCUCCUUCCUCCACGUCGAUCUCCGUAGAUGGUGAUACACUGUCCUCCAUUUCAUGUUCGACCUCUUCCUCAAGAUCCUUCUUCAUGAAAAGGCCAAGCCUCUCUAGCGGACUCCCUAAGCCAGGUGGUAGAUCGAUCCCGUCGACAAAAUCAACAAUAAGUUUGCCAGGGGGAUUCAGCUCCCACUUUUUGCUUAAGUUUUCCAGGUCCUUAAGGAAGUCACUGUUGUCAAUAUCAACAGUCUUCUUCAUCUGCGUAGG